GAUGAACGCUGGCGGCGUGCCUAAUACAUGCAAGUCGAGCGAGGCCCUUCGGGGCCUAGCGGCGGACGGAUGAGUAACACGUGGGUAACCUGCCUGUAAGACCGGGAUAACUUCGGGAAACCGAAGCUAAUACCGGAUAGUUUCGAGCAUCGCAUGAUGCUUGAUGGAAAGACGGUUUCGGCUGUCACUUACAGAUGGACCCGCGUCGCAUUAGCUAGUUGGUGAGGUAAUGGCUCACCAAGGCGACGAUGCGUAGCCGACCUGAGAGGGUGAUCGGCCACACUGGGACUGAGACACGGCCCAGACUCCUACGGGAGGCAGCAGUAGGGAAUCUUCGGCAAUGGGCGAAAGCCUGACCGAGCAACGCCGCGUGAGCGAUGAAGGCCUUCGGGUCGUAAAGCUCUGUUGUUAAGGAAGAACAAGUACGAGAGUAACUGCUCGUACCUUGACGGUACUUAACGAGAAAGCCACGGCUAACUACGUGCCAGCAGCCGCGGUAAUACGUAGGUGGCGAGCGUUAUCCGGAAUUAUUGGGCGUAAAGCGCGCGCAGGCGGUUUCUUAAGUCUGAUGUGAAAGCCCACGGCUCAACCGUGGAGGGUCAUUGGAAACUGGGAAACUUGAGUGCAGAAGAGGAAAGCGGAAUUCCACGUGUAGCGGUGAAAUGCGUAGAGAUGUGGAGGAACACCAGUGGCGAAGGCGGCUUUCUGGUCUG
rnacentral:rRNA from 1 species